rnacentral:rRNA from 1 species
GAUGAACGCUAGCUACAGGCUUAACACAUGCAAGUCGAGGGGUAACAAGAGAAAAGCUUGCUUUUCUUGUUGACGACCGGCGCACGGGUGAGUAACGCGUAUCCAACCUGCCUAUAACUAGGGAAUAACCUUGCGAAAGUAAGACUAAUACCCUAUGAUUUCCUUUGAUGACAUCUGACGAGGAAUAAAGAUUUAUCGGUUGUGGAUGGGGAUGCGUCUGAUUAGCUUGUUGGCGGGGUAACGGCCCACCAAGGCAACGAUCAGUAGGGGUUCUGAGAGGAAGGUCCCCCACAUUGGAACUGAGACACGGUCCAAACUCCUACGGGAGGCAGCAGUGAGGAAUAUUGGUCAAUGGGCGGAAGCCUGAACCAGCCAAGUAGCGUGCAGGAUGACGGCCCUAUGGGUUGUAAACUGCUUUUAUACAGGAAUAAAGUUAGCCACGUGUGGUUAUUUGUAGGUACUGUAUGAAUAAGGACCGGCUAAUUCCGUGCCAGCCGCCGCAGUAA